GACGAACGCUGGCGGCGCGCCUAACACAUGCAAGUCGAACGGAGGACCCUUGACGGAGUUUUCGGACAACGGAUAGGAAUCCUUAGUGGCGGACGGGUGAGUAACGCGUGAGGAACCUGCCUCAAAGAGGGGGACAACAGUUGGAAACGACUGCUAAUACCGCAUAAGCCCACGGCUCGGCAUCGAGCAGAGGGAAAAGGAGUGAUCCGCUUUGAGAUGGCCUCGCGUCCGAUUAGCUAGUUGGUGAGGUAACGGCCCACCAAGGCAACGAUCGGUAGCCGGACUGAGAGGUUGAACGGCCACAUUGGGACUGAGACACGGCCCAGACUCCUACGGGAGGCAGCAGUGGGGAAUAUUGCACAAUGGGGGGAAACCCUGAUGCAGCGACGCCGCGUGGAGGAAGAAGGUCUUCGGAUUGUAAACUCCUGUUGUUGAGGAAGAUAAUGACGGUACUCAACAAGGAAGUGACGGCUAACUACGUG
rnacentral:rRNA from 1 species